CAGCAAUGAUGUCUUGAAUUUCUUCACCUGAAUAUUUUGUGUGGAGCAAAAAAUGAGCUUUUUAACACUGAGCUUC
ensembl:snoRNA SNORD36 Small nucleolar RNA SNORD36